rnacentral:rRNA from 1 species
GACGAACGCUGGCGGCGUGCUUAACACAUGCAAGUCGAACGGAAAGGCCCUGCUUUUGUGGGGUGCUCGAGUGGCGAACGGGUGAGUAACACGUGAGUAACCUGCCCUUGACUUUGGGAUAACUUCAGGAAACUGGGGCUAAUACCGGAUAGGAGCUCCUGCUGCAUGGUGGGGGUUGGAAAGUUUCGGCGGUUGGGGAUGGACUCGCGGCUUAUCAGCGUGUUGGUGGGGUAGGGGCUUACCAAGGCUUUGACGGGUAGCCGGCCUGAGAGGGGGACCGGCCCCCAUGGGACCGAGAUAACGCCCCGACCCCUUAGGGGGGGCGGCGUGGGGGAUUGUGCACCAAGGGGCGGAGCCCUAUGCCGCCAACGCCCCGGGGGGAUGGCCGCCCUUCGGUUUUAAACCGGCUUCCCCUGGGACCAAGGCGGAGUGACGGUAAAGGGUAAAAGAGCCCCCGCCAACCUACUG